GAUAUAAACUAGCUCCAGAUAUGAUCACUGAGAAAGAGAAAAAGAAGUCUGAGGUUGUCAGUACCAGGCGGAGAAUGCAAGAAGGAAAGACACAGAAACAGCCAGUUGAGUGCCACGAAGUGUCAUCGGCCCCUGAUGAGGAAACUUCCUCUGCAAAGACACUGGCAUCUGAGCUGGUUCUGGAAGCUUGAUGAUGGGUGGCUGCCAUAAGAAGAAAACAAAUCCUACCAUUUGCAACAACAUGGAUGGAGCUAGAGGGUAUUAUGCUCAGUGAAAUAAGCCAGGCGGAGAAAGACAAGUACCAAAUGAUUUCACUCAUCUGUGGAGUACAAGAACAAAGAAAAAACUGAAGGAACAAAACAGCAGCAGAAUCACAGAACCCAAGAAUGGACUAACAGUUACCAAAGGGAAAGGGACUGGGGAGGAUGG